GAUGAAGAACGUAGCGAAAUGCGAUAAGUAAUGUGAAUUGCAGAAUUCAGUGAAUCAUCGAAUCUUUGAACGCACAUUGCGCCCCUUGGUAUUCCGAGGGGCACGCCUGUUCGAGCGUCAUUAUAACCCCUCAAGCUCAGCUUGGUGUUGGGGCCUGCUGCACUGGCAGCCCUUAAAAUCAGUGGCGGCGCCAUCUGGCUCUAAGCGUAGUAAUUCUUCUCGCUAUGGAGUCCUGGUGGAUGCUUGCCAUCAACCCCCAAUUUUUCUAUGGUUGACCUCGGAUCAGGUAGGGAUACCCGCUGAACUUAAGCAUAUCAAUAAGCGGAGGA
rnacentral:misc_RNA from 1 species